rnacentral:rRNA from 1 species
GACGAACGCUGGCGGCGUGCUUAACACAUGCAAGUCGAACGGUGAAAGCGGAGCUUGCUCCGCUGGAUCAGUGGCGAACGGGUGAGUAACACGUGGGCAACCUGCCCCUCACUUCGGGAUAACUCCGGGAAACCGGGGCUAAUACCGGAUAUGACCUCCUUGGGCAUCCUUGGAGGUGGAAAGUUUUUCGGUGAGGGAUGGGCCCGCGGCCUAUCAGCUUGUUGGUGAGGGAGUGGCUCACCAAGGCGACGACGGGUAGCCGGCCUGAGAGGGCUACCGGCCACACUGGGACUGAGACACGGCCCAGACUCCUACGGGAGGCAGCAGUGGGGAAGAUUGCGCAAUGGGCGAAAGCCUGACGCAGCAACGCCGCGUGCGGGAUGACGGCCUUCGGGUUGUAAACCGCUUUCAGCAGGGAAGAAGCCGCAAGGUGACGGUACCUGCAGAAGAAGCACCGGCUAACUACGUGCCAGCAGCCGCGGUAA